GGAAGCUCUUGCGGGAGGAAUCUCUGCUCUGAGCCUGUGCUGUGGGGCUUCCAUCCGCAACGCGUGACGGAAUCACAAAGAGUGCGUCGUCUGAGUUUGGGCGCACGAUAUUUGACCCGGGCUGGUUUCUGUUAAGAAGUGGGGGCAGAAUUAUCACAUGGCUAGCUGUAAAUUGAAUUGAAAUUAGUUUGUGGUCUGAAUCAUGUCAUCUGCAGUACAUUCCAGUUGGAGCGUUUUCUUGUGAUGGCCAUCAUAACGGUGAUAACAUAAACUGGUCACCGUAGCCACCAGAUCCAGUCUGUAUCCAGUACAGAUGAUGGAUCAGCACCUAGAGAUGACCUCUACAGCCCUGAAUGUGAGCAGAGACCCCUUCAACUAGAUGAGGCCCAGUGACAGAUCCCCAGUGAAGACCUUGUCACAUUCUUGCAGCCUAGAAUUAAAUUGCUGGUUUCGUCUGGCCAGAGGAGAAUGACACACUGUUUCCCUGUUUAAUAUUGUAAAGGUUCAUUGGCACCAAAUGCCAUUGAGAUUCACAGAUCAGAUAGAAUUAUGGAAAGAGGGUCCAAAGAAAAAGCAUUAGCCUGAAUCCCCUCGUGGUGUUUCUCAUCAGAGAGCUUGUCAACUUUGCCACAACAGCACAAACUGUAUUUUAUUUCUGUAAAGCCUGUUUUGCUACACUACCGAUUUAGCUAGUGCAUGCUGGAGACGAAGAUUUCUCAUUUGUAUUUUUAAAAAGAAAAUGUUCAUUUAAAAAGAAUAUUAUAAAGACAAAUGCUAAUGAGUUAUUGUGAUUUUUAUGGGUAUAUGGUAUACAGUAUUGUACCACGAUUGUGCAGUUUAGGUGUCUGUCAGUUGGCACCCAAAUGAACCGGGGGAAAAAUAAAACAAUAAUAAAAACAUUUGU